UUGCGAACUUUAUCCUCGAUGUUCUCUACUAAAUCCUUUCAGCAAAAAUAUGGCAAUAUCGUGAAAUGAUCAAGUAUGACACAUAGAAUGGACCUGCUAUCCCCGUUUAAAUAAGAACAUCUAAUUUCAGUAGGCCUUUAAGUACAGUAUCUAGGCCUGUCAAAAAAGCUUUAGUUUCCGAUGUAUUUCAGCAUCAUUAACUACAAGUUCAAGAGUCACUAACUGAUGAGCUGUGCACUGUCCUAUGCAAAUCUAAUCAAUUAGGCGUAGCUAUGGCAAAGGACGGCCCCCUUUCUACUGCAUUUAAACGUAAACAGUACUAUACAUCUCACUUUUCGGUUUUAGAGCCAGUUGAGUACGUAUUAGAUGCCCAGUGGAAUAAGACCAAGGCAAAGCUGCAGCCAACAUAGAAAGCCAGAAGAGCUGAAGUUUACAACAUACCACUGCACCCAAAAGGCGAAACCACAGAAAGCUUGGAAAACGACGAGAGGUCGUUGAACAGAGACGCAUGAUAGAAAAAUUCAAAAACCGGUGACCUGCCCUGUUCCAGCAGAGUGAAAUCACUACAAAGCCACUGCAGUCAAAGUUUAUGUCACAACUGGACCACGUUUCCCUCAAGCCGAUGCAGAGCUUCAAAAGCAAAGGAGAAGUGAACGGGC